rnacentral:rRNA from 1 species
AUUGAACGCUGGCGGCAUGCUUUGCACAUGCAAGUCGAACGGUAACAGGCCUUCUGGUGCUGACGAGUGGCGGACGGGUGAGUAAUGCAUCGGAACGUACCCAGAGGUGGGGGUUAACGCAGCGAAAGCUGUGCUAAUACCGCAUGUGAUCUGAGGAUGAAAGCGGGGGACCGAGCAGCAAUGUUUGGCCUCGCGCCUUUGGAGCGGCCGAUGUCGGAUUAGCUAGUUGGUGGGGUAAAGGCCUACCAAGGCGACGAUCCGUAGCUGGUCUGAGAGGACGGCCGGCCACACGGGGAGUGAGACACGGCCCAGACUCCUACGGGAGGCAGCAGUGGGGAAUGGUGGACAAAGGGGGGAAGCAUGAUCCAGCAAUGCCGCGUGCGGGAAGAAGGCCUUCGGGUUGUAAAGCGGUUUUGGCAGGAACGAAACGGUGUCCGCUAAUACCGGGCGCUAAUGACGGUACCUGCAGAAGAAGCACCGGCUAACUACGUG